rnacentral:lncRNA from 1 species
AUCCACACAUUCAAUCCGGGAUCCCGACGCUGUGGACUGGAGCCGGUGUCCGAGAGGCUGGCUCCAAUGAGGAAAUCACGAAUGAGACGGAGUCGGGGUGACCAGUCGCUAUCCUCUCCUGUGUGGUCUCUGCAUUUAGGUGUGGCCAAUUACUGUGAACCUCUAAGCUUGUAGUACAUGCUUUGAUGUGCUGAUGAGGAGGCUGCAGAUCAGGCGCUCAUGGUCGCGUCGAAGCGCAGCAGGAGGAGGGCUGGUACAGAACUUUGUACUUGUGCCCCCUGUUCAGGUUCUAUGAUUUGAUUUGAUUUGAUUUGAUUUCCUCCGCUCCACUUCUCUCAGGUGUUAUAUGUUUUAUUACUCUGAUGAUUGUCGUGAUUUUGUCGAGACCGUCAUCGGCUACUCUUUUCACCCUGCUUCAGUUUCAGUAUUGCGUACCAAAGACCUAUAUAUUUCUGAUUCUCAAAAGGUUACGAAUUCCCAGUAUCUACAAACUUCUGGUGCUGAAUAUACAGAAUUUGUUGUGAAAUAUUAUAUUAUCCUAAAUGCUACUGUAACUUCCGGUUAUUUCCUGUUGUCCACAGCCAAGAUUGCAGGAAAAUUGAGCUGCCUAUCUGCAUGGUUAACAAAUGGAGUCCUUCCUGAACGCGAGGCCCAGCCCAACCAAAACAAGGGAGAAGAAGCAUGGGCCGGGAAGGCGCCAACUCCAACUCCCGCCUUGCCGAGCCUGUGAUUUCGCCCACGAAGAUCUUAGCCCGCUUGUCACGGUCCGUGAACUGAACAUUCGGCCUAUACUAGUACACGGGCUAAACCAUGCGCAUUUUCGUCAUGCGGCAUUAUCCACGGUACUACUGCCGUCCUUGUACUGUACUUGUGCAGGUAUGAGGUAUAUAUACCUCAGAGCUCAGUAGCACACAGAAGAUACAGUGUAUCUCUCAACUCAAUGAGAGAUACACUGUGCAUGGUAGACGACGGUACUACCUCCCCGCAUGUGCUACGGGUGCACACUUGGGACGUGCAAUGCAUACUCCUGUCCUGCAGCUUCAGGGUACACAGAAGCCGCAAGCUUUGACUACCGGAGGCCGGAGGGAGCAUCUGCAGUUGUGCACUACGAACACCAUCUGACGGCGCGUACGGGCCUGCUACGUAUCCUUGCCAACUCCUACACGCGCGACUGCACACCGUCCAACAGGUAGGUUCAUUGACUUGCGAGACGGCCGCCGGCCCCCCGUGCCGUGCGUACCUACAGGGAUCGAUUCCAGCGGCGUUCGUGUAAUGGCUGAAGAAUCUCCAAUCGCGCGCGGCUGGGGCUGUACCGUACCUCUGAUUCGAUCGGUUUUUUGUUUGUUGGGGUCACUUGCAGUCACAGUACACGGUACCUUCAUGCACACUGCGUUGUUGUGUGCAUUGGAUUCGCGUGGUCAAGACUGGAAGAAGAGUCAAGACUCGAGAUUCAGGACGUUCUUGUUUUCAAGUCUCAACACUGAGGGUCUUGUUUAGUUCCGAAAAGUGAAAAGUUUUCGGAACUGUAGCACUUUUGUUUGUUUGUGACAAAUAUUAUCCAAUCAUAGACUAACUAGGAUCAAAAGAUUUCUCUCGUGAUUUACAACUAAACUGUGUAAUUAGUUUUUAUUUUCGUCUAUAUUUAAUGUUUCAUGCAUGUGCCACAAGAUUCGAUGUGACGGGGAAUCUUGAAAACUUAUUGGUUUUCAUGUGAACUAAACCAGGCCGAGGUUCGUCCUUGGCGGGGCUGCUGGCUGCUGCAGCUAGCACAGUAGUACCAA